rnacentral:tRNA from 1 species
CAGAAGUUAGUUAAAUUUUAUAACAUAAACCUGUCAUAUUUAAAUCGUCUUUUGACACUUCUUU